AGCAGCAUGGCGCAGUGGAAGCGCGUUGGGCUCAUAACCCAAAGGUCGCUCGAUCGAAACGAGCUGCUGCUA
rnacentral:tRNA from 1 species